GGGUACGAUCAUACCAUCAUUAAUGCACCGGAUCCCAUCAGAACUCCGCAGUUAAACGCACUUGGGGUAGAGUAGUACUCGGAUGUGUGACCUCCCGGAAAGUCCUAGUGUUGCACCCU
rfam:Picea glauca, whole genome shotgun sequence.